rnacentral:rRNA from 1 species
GAUGAACGCUGGCGGCGUGCCUAAUACAUGCAAGUCGAGCGAACGGACGAUAAGCUUGCUUUUCUGAUGUUAGCGGCGGACGGGUGAGUAACACGUGGAUAACCUACCUAUAAGACUGGGAUAACUUCGGGAAACCGGAGCUAAUACCGGAUAAUAUUUUGAACCGCAUGGUUCAAAAGUGAAAGACGGUCUUGCUGUCACUUAUAGAUGGAUCCGCGCUGCAUUAGCUAGUUGGUAAGGUAACGGCUUACCAAGGCAACGAUGCAUAGCCGACCUGAGAGGGUGAUCGGCCACACUGGAACUGAGACACGGUCCAGACUCCUACGGGAGGCAGCAGUAGGGAAUCUUCGGCAAUGGGCGAAAGCCUGACGGAGCAACGCCGCGUGAGUGAUGAAGGUCUUCGGAUCGUAAAACUCUGUUAUUAGGGAAGAACAUAUGUGUAAGUAACUGUGCACAUCUUGACGGUACCUAAUCAGAAAGCCACGGCUAACUACGUG